UACAGAGGGUGCGAGCGUUGUUCGGAAUUAUUGGGCGUAAAGGGCUCGUAGGCGGCCAACUAAGUCAGACGUGAAAUCCCUCGGCUUAACCGGGGAACUGCGUCUGAUACUGGAUGGCUUGAGGUUGGGAGAGGGAUGCGGAAUUCCAGGUGUAGCGGUGAAAUGCGUAGAUAUCGGGAGGAACACCAGUGGCGAAGGCGAUCACCUGGGGUUGUUCUGACGCUGAGGAGCGAAAGCUAGGGGAGCAAACGGG
rnacentral:rRNA from 1 species